AAAACAGGUAAAGAGCACGUACCUGCAUAGGAUGCCAAAAAAGUUAACAGAAAGUUCAGUAAGUAGAUUUUAAUUCAAGAUAAAUUUGAUUAACCUUUCUUAAGCUUUGAGUAAUAUUGAAUUCCAUAUUCUGUUUUUCUAUGGUUUAACUGCAGAAUAACUCAUAAUCUAAUAGACUAAACUGUAAUGAAAUUGUCCUUUUCGACAAGGACAAUCAACUGAAAGAUAUUAAGUAUUAGAGGAAAGUAUGCAAAAAGUAUCAUGUAGUUUCCUGUGGUUUGGAUUUUGACAAACCAAUAUUAUGGGAUUAAGUCCUUUAGCAAAGAAGGUCCAAACACCCUAACGCCAUUAAUGGCUAUUUCUGCUGACAUGGAACUAUUUUUCAAUUAAAAAUCAACUUUCUAAUUAAAUUGUGGGACUUACUUGCAAACAAAAAUUUUACAAAUAAUUGUGGGACCCUUGUGUCAUUAUUUCAUUAAAUU
rnacentral:misc_RNA from 1 species